GACGUAGGGGGCCAGCGUUGCUCGGAAUUACUGGGCGUAAAGGGUUCGUAGGCGGUGCGGCAAGUCGGGAGUGAAAUCUCUGGGCUUAACUCAGGGGCUGCUUCCGAAACUGCCGUGCUUGAGUGCGGGAGAGGCGAGUGGAAUUCCUGGUGUAGCGGUGGAAUGCGCAGAUAUCAGGAAGAACACCCGUGGCGAAGGCGGCUCUCUGGAACGCAACUGACGCUGAGACGCGAAAGCGUGGGGAGCAAACAGG
rnacentral:rRNA from 1 species